CAAUAAAAGAAACAUGGUAACGUGCACAGAAAUUGAAUUGGGUCUCUAGGCCUGCCCUCUCUGAUGCCAUUUGGCUUUAUUUGAGGGCAUGGCUCUGCAACAAAAUA